AAUAGAUACCCAGGUAGUCCACGCCGUAAACGAUGAGUGCUAAGUGUUAGGGGGUUUCCGCCCCUUAGUGCUGCAGCUAACGCAUUAAGCACUCCGCCUGGGGAGUACGGUCGCAAGACUGAAACUCAAAGGAAUUGACGGGGGCCCGCACAAGCGGUGGAGCAUGUGGUUUAAUUCGAAGCAACGCGAAGAACCUUACCAGGUCUUGACAUCCCAUUGACCACUAUGGAGACAUAGUUUUCCCUUCGGGGACAACGGUGACAGGUGGUGCAUGGUUGUCGUCAGCUCGUGUCGUGAGAUGUUGGGUUAAGUCCCGCAACGAGCGCAACCCUUGUUCUUAGUUGCCAUCAUUUAGUUGGGCACUCUAAGGAGACUGCCGGUGUCAAACCGGAGGAAGGUGGGGAUGACGUCAAAUCAUCAUGCCCCUUAUGACCUGGGCUACACACGUGCUACAAUGGACGGUACAAACGGUUGCCAACCCGCGAGGGGGAGCUAAUCCGAUAAAACCGUUCUCAGUUCGGAUUGUAGGCUGCAACUCGCCUACAUGAACG
rnacentral:rRNA from 1 species